AAAAGGUAAGGGAAAUUUCUUUAUUCACAGUAUUUUGCAAACUUCGUAAAAGUUAUAAUUUAAAAGUCAAUCAUGAGGGCAAUUUCUAUUCUUUUUGUAGCAGCAAUUUUAAUUGUUUGCUAUGCUACAUAUGGAGAUGCGAAUCCAGCGGCUGCACGAGCAGCAGCUAUACGCCGGAUGAAAAAGAAGAAGCAAAAAAAUUAAAUUGAUUUUUCAAUUGAACUCUUUAAAAAUGUGGAGUAAAUAAAAAUUUUGUUUGAUCAUUUAAAUUUUUGGGUGAAAAGUAAAUUAUUAUACAUACGUAUUGUUAUGUUAAAAGUAUCAAAAAAUUGGUUUAUAUAAAAAUUUUUGCUGAAAUUAAAUAAUUAAUCCGUCUA